UCUAAAAUUUGUAUCUUAGAUGGACCAGUCUUAUAAACCAGAUGAAGAUGAAGUUCGAACACUCUUUGGUCUCCGUUUAAGCCAGAAGAGAAACAAUGGUGUCAUCAAUAAGUCAUUAUUUAGCAAUGUCGUUACCAAGAACAAAGAUUUGCCGGAGUCUGCCCUCAGGGACCUCAUCGUGGCCACCAUUGCUGUCAAGUACACUCAGUCGAACUCCGUGUGCUAUGCCAAGAACGGGCAGGUUAUUGGCAUUGGAGCAGGACAGCAGUCUCGGAUACACUGCACACGCCUUGCGGGGGAUAAGGCCAACUAUUGGUGGCUUAGACACCAUCCACAAGUGCUUUCAAUGAAGUUUAAAACAGGAGUGAAGAGAGCAGAAAUCUCCAAUGCCAUCGACCAGUAUGUGACUGGAACCAUCGGCGAGGAUGAAGAUUUGAUAAAGUGGAAGGCACUGUUUGAGGAGGUCCCUGAGUUAUUAACUGAGGCAGAGAAGAAGGAAUGGGUUGACAAACUAAGUGAAGUUUGUAUCAGCUCUGAUGCCUUCUUUCCUUUUAGGGAUAAUGUGGACAGAGCUAAAAGGAGUGGUGUGGCGUACAUUGCUGCCCCCUCCGGCUCUGCUGCUGACAAAGUCGUCAUCGAGGCUUGCGAUGAACUGGGAAUAAUCCUCGCUCCACCACCUCCGGCUCUUCCACCACUGAUCUCAUCGCACAUUAUUUUAUGGUUUGCGUAUGUGCAGGUGAUUCAUGUGUGGGAUUUUGAAAAUAACUUGUUUUUAAAAAUAAAAUAUUAAAUCUUAA